GCCUUAGUAACGGCGAGUGAAGCGGCAAAAGCUCAAAUUUGAAAUCUGGUACCUUCGGUGCCCGAGUUGUAAUUUGGAGAGGGCAACUUUGGGGCCGUUCCUUGUCUAUGUUCCUUGGAACAGGACGUCAUAGAGGGUGAGAAUCCCGUGUGGCGAGGAGUGCGGUUCUUUGUAAAGUGCCUUCGAAGAGUCGAGUUGUUUGGGAAUGCAGCUCUAAGUGGGUGGUAAAUUCCAUCUAAAGCUAAAUAUUGGCGAGAGACCGAUAGCGAACAAGUACAGUGAUGGAAAGAUGAAAAGAACUUUGAAAAGAGAGUGAAAAAGUACGUGAAAUUGUUGAAAGGGAAGGGCAUUUGAUCAGACAUGGUGUUUUGUGCCCUCUGCUCCUUGUGGGUAGGGGAAUCUCGCAUUUCACUGGGCCAGCAUCAGUUUUGGUGGCAGGAUAAAUCCAUAGGAAUGUAGCUUGCCUCGGUAAGUAUUAUAGCCUGUGGGAAUACUGCCAGCUGGGACUGAGGACUGCGACGUAAGUCAAGGAUGCUGGCAUAAU
rnacentral:rRNA from 1 species